GUAAAGAGUGUUAAUGAACAAUGGGUGGAGUGAGGAGAUAAGAAUUCAAAAUACACUGGUUUUUGACAAAUUACCUAGCUGGUCAAAUUUUCACAGUACCAAGAUACAAGGCCAAGUGUGCCAUCUUGUAAUUAAAUGAAGAAAAUGUGAUCUGUUCUAAUGAUGAAAUGUCACAUUGUACCUUCCUUAAGGAUUUUCAAAGAAAGGAAUCUGAAGAAAAUAAAACCAGAGCUAUAGCACAUAGGAAGGACAUCAUAAUCUACAGAGAAAAUGGCUAAAGACUUGCUUUGCUUACUGAUGAAUCCCCAGUGCCAGAAACAGUGCCUGGCACACAAGCAGGUACUCAUUAAUAAAUGGGAAAUUAAUAAAAAAUGAAAAUACAUUUAAUCCACAGGUUUUGGUCGUGGAUUAUGAAUCAGACACUCUUAAGCUCUUGAU